rnacentral:lncRNA from 1 species
UCGCAGUGAAACAAUUAUUAAACAGUCGUGUAAUUUAGUGCGUUAGGGCCGAAAAUCAACGUUUAUUUGAAGCCUAUCCAAAAAACACACCUCUGCGCACGACGAUUGAAGAACAGCACCGUUCACCGUACCGUCACUUGGCGCCACUCCGGACGGUGAUGAUAAGCUGUGAGUUUACCUGAAAAAGAAGAAAUAUGAUUAAUUAACAAAAUAUAAACAAUAAACAGGAACUGGCGAAGGAGAA